AAAAUUAUCCCUUUCAGGGAUCCUUUCUAUAGUUUGUUACUCGAGAACUUUCUCUGAACAUGUAGAGCUCUGGAAACCACAGGAGGAUCCAGCGUUCUCCCCUGGGUCUGAAGUGGGCUUUUGGCCGUGCUUUGCUGUGCCUACCAUUUGCUGUUGAUAAUCAUUCUUUCCCUUUGAGAGAGUAAGGAGAGGACACAGUCUGAAUGUUGU